rnacentral:rRNA from 1 species
UCCUGGCUCAGAUUGAACGCUGGCGGCAUGCUUUACACAUGCAAGUCGAACGGUAACAGGCCGCAAGGUGCUGACGAGUGGCGAACGGGUGAGUAAUGCAUCGGAACGUGCCCAGUCGUGGGGGAUAACGCAGCGAAAGCUGUGCUAAUACCGCAUACGAUCUAUGGAUGAAAGCGGGGGACCGUAAGGCCUCGCGCGAUUGGAGCGGCCGAUGUCAGAUUAGGUAGUUGGUGGGGUAAAGGCUCACCAAGCCAACGAUCUGUAGCUGGUCUGAGAGGACGACCAGCCACACUGGGACUGAGACACGGCCCAGACUCCUACGGGAGGCAGCAGUGGGGAAUUUUGGACAAUGGGCGCAAGCCUGAUCCAGCAAUGCCGCGUGCAGGAAGAAGGCCUUCGGGUUGUAAACUGCUUUUGUACGGAACGAAACGGUCUGGGUUAAUACCCUGGGCUAAUGACGGUACCGUAAGAAUAAGCACCGGCUAACUACGUGCCAGCAGCCGCGGUAA